rnacentral:sRNA from 1 species
GGCCGAAGGUUUCGUUUUAGGCGUCGAG